GGGGUGUAGUAUAGUAGUGCUGUAUGGAGGGGGGUGUAGUAUAGUAGUGCUGUAUGGAGUGGUGCUGUAUGGAGGGGGGGUGUAGUAUAGUAGUGCUGUAUGGAGGGGGUGUAGUAUAGUAGUGCUGUAUGGAGGGGGUGUAGUAUAGUAGUGCUGUAUGGGGGGGUGUAGUAUAGUAGUGCUGUAUGGGGGGUGUAGUAUAGUAGUGCUGUAUGGAGGGGGGGGGGUGUAGUAUAGUAGUGCUGUAUGGGGGUGUAGUAUAGUAGUGCCGUAUGGAGGUGGGGUGUAGUAUAGUAGUGAUGUAUGGAGGGGGGUGUAGUAUAGUGGUGCUGUAUGGAGGGGGGUGUAGUAUAGUAGUGCUGUAUGGAGGGGGGGUGUAGUAUAGUAGUGCUGUAUGGAGGGGGG
ensembl:lncRNA